CCGGCAGCACAGGAGAGCUUGCUCUCUGGGUGGCGAGUGGCGGACGGGUGAGGAAUACAUCGGAAUCUACUUUUUCGUGGGGGAUAACGUAGGGAAACUUACGCUAAUACCGCAUACGACCUACGGGUGAAAGCAGGGGAUCUUCGGACCUUGCGCGAUUGAAUGAGCCGAUGUCGGAUUAGCUAGUUGGCGGGGUAAAGGCCCACCAAGGCGACGAUCCGUAGCUGGUCUGAGAGGAUGAUCAGCCACACUGGAACUGAGACACGGUCCAGACUCCUACGGGAGGCAGCAGUGGGGAAUAUUGGACAAUGGGCGCAAGCCUGAUCCAGCCAUACCGCGUGGGUGAAGAAGGCCUUCGGGUUGUAAAGCCCUUUUGUUGGGAAAGAAAUCCAGCUGGUUAAUACCCGGUUGGGAUGACGGUACCCAAAGAAUAAGCACCGGCUAACUUCGUGCCAGCAGCCGCGGUAAUACGAAGGGUGCAAGCGUUACUCGGAAUUACUGGGCGUAAAGCGUGCGUAGGUGGUCGUUUAAGUCCGUUGUGAAAGCCCUGGGCUCAACCUGGGAACUGCAGUGGAUACUGGACGACUAGAGUGUGGUAGAGGGUAGCGGAAUUCCUGGUGUAGCAGUGAAAUGCGUAGAGAUCAGGAGGAACAUCCAUGGCGAAGGCAGCUACCUGGGACCAACACUGACACUGAGGCACGAAAGCGUGGGGGAGCAAACAGGAUUAGAUACCCUGGUAGUCCACGCCCUAAACGAUGCGAACUGGAUGUUGGGUGCAAUUUGGCACGCAGUAUC
rnacentral:rRNA from 1 species